rnacentral:lncRNA from 10 species
GGCUUUGGGAAAGAACAAAAAAGUAAGAAAAGACAAGAAGAGGAAUGAACAUUAAUACCUGAAACUAUAGGAAAGUGUUCAUCAUUGAGUAAUGGAUUAAGUGAAAAUCCAGGAGUAUCCAUCUGCAGUUAUGUGCUGAGAUGGGAAUUGCAGAAGCUGCAUCAAAAGUAUGCUUUGAGGUAUAUAUAGUGAAACAGAGCCUUUCUGAAGAGAAUUAUAUCAAACUAAUUACAACCAAGAAAUAAUAGUAUGAAGCGGAUGCUGUUUGGAGGACAGGAAAAUUUAUCGGGAAAAUUACAUAAUCCCUCUGAUUCCACUAUCCAGAGAUAGCCAUUAUUAUUAAUAUUUGGUAUGUACAUCCUUAUAUUAUUUUUUUCUUAUGCAUGAUUUUGUAUAUAUGGUUAUUUUUCUUUCCAUAAAAAUGGUAUUAAACUGUAUAUACUGUUUUGUAGCCUACAUAUUUCAUAUAGAAGUAUAUUGUUAACAUUUUCCAUGUCAAUAAAUAUUCUUCUAUGGCUUA